rnacentral:rRNA from 1 species
GAUGAACGCUGGCGGCGCGCCUAACACAUGCAAGUCGAACGAUUAAAGCACCUUCGGGUGUGUAUAAAGUGGCGAACGGCUGAGUAACACGUGGGCAACCUGCCCCUUUCAUUGGGAUAGCCACGGGAAACCGUGGACAAUACCGAAUACUUCGAGACUUCCGCAUGGAAGACUCGAGAAAGCUCCGGCGGAGAGGGAUGGGCCCGCGGCCUGUUAGCUUGUUGGUGGGGUAACGGCCUACCAAGGCAAUGAUGGGUAGCUGGGUUGAGAGACCGACCAGCCAGAUUGGGACUGAGACACGGCCCAGACUCCUACGGGAGGCAGCAGUGGGGAAUCUUGCACAAUGGGCGAAAGCCUGAUGCAGCGACGCCGCGUGCGGGAUGAAGGCCUUCGGGUUGUAAACCGCUUUCAGCAGGGACGAGGCGAAAGUGACGGUACCUGCAGAAGAAGCCCCGGCUAACUACGUG